GACGAACGCUGGCGGCGUGCUUAACACAUGCAAGUCGAACGGAAAGGCCCUGCUUGCCGGGUACUCGAGUGGCGAACGGGUGAGUAACACGUGGGUGAUCUGCCCUGCACUUCGGGAUAAGCCUGGGAAACUGGGUCUAAUACCGGAUAGGAGCCAUUUUUAGUGUGAUGGUUGGAAAGUUUUUUCGGUGUAGGAUGAGCUCGCGGCCUAUCAGCUUGUUGGUGGGGUAAUGGCCUACCAAGGCGGCGACGGGUAGCCGGCCUGAGAGGGUGGACGGCCACAUUGGGACUGAGAUACGGCCCAGACUCCUACGGGAGGCAGCAGGGGGGAAUAUUGCACAAUGGGCGCAAGCCUGAUGCAGCGACGCCGCGGGGGGGAGGACGGCCUUCGGGUUGUAAACGCCGUUCGCUAGGGACGAAGCUUUUUGUGACGGUACCUAGAGAAGAAGCACCGGCUAACUACGUG
rnacentral:rRNA from 1 species